AUCCUAGAUCUGGGGAGUUUCUGUAGGCACUUUAUUUUUCCACUUUCAAAAGCUUGGGCUGGGGCCAACUCAGGCAGCCCACUCCUGUUUCUAUUUCUAAUUUAACUCUAUGGCUUGAGUCUCAGCGCUGAAAACCAAAUCCAU
rfam:Neotoma lepida isolate 417 scaffold_815, whole genome shotgun sequence.